GAAAGAAGAAGCUCAUUUGCUUUUGAAAGUCUUUCAGAUUAAAGGACCUGUGGAGAUAUUUGUAAGCAAAUUUGAGAAUGACAACUGGGCCCUAGAUGGUUAUGUGUCAUCAGGGCUUGAAAGAGGUGUGUUUACCUAUCAAGGUGAUAUACAUGGAAAAGACUUUGGAAAAUUUAUGCUCCAAAGACAAGGUCCUUUAAGUUCUGGUACUGACCUUUCCAACC